AAGCUUUAUUUACAUUUCCUGCUCAAACCAUGUGAUGACCUGUUUUUCCAUGCAACGUAUUAUGUUAACUUUUCCUUAGAUUCUCUUUUACUUUAUCUUAGCUACUCAGAUUUCAUGAACCAACCUCUCUGACUCUUGCAGAUUUCAUAUCUGGUUAUUUAUAUGCCACAUUUGCAGGUUUCUCAUUCAAUCAGUUCCAUUUUCUUCCAUCUCACUGCCGGUCUUAUGCUUUCCCAAAUUCAUGGUGUUUUGGAGACUGUUUUGCAGACUACAAUUCUCUGAGAUACGAAAGCUUUGACCAAUAGAUCCGUUCGUGCUGGGAAGUUGAAGAGAAAAUGCGCUGCUGAUGGAAGCUGCUGGACGGAUAUCCAUGGAAGGUUUCAUGAAUUAGGUCGAUGGAAGCUUUUUGAAAGCUUGGGGGUUUGACUUGGGGGCCAUUGAUGUGAUGCUGUAUAACGAGCUUAGGUUAGAAAAAAAUGGUAACUUAUCAGGUAAGAAAGUAGAGAUUUUUGACAAACAACACCCCCUGAAUUAUUGUCUGUAUAUGCGGAGCAGGCAUUGAUGUUAAUAGCAU